CGGACUCGCCCUCUGGUAUUUGGGUGACACAUCCCCCCUCCCCCCGCCCCGUCACCGUCCCACGGAAGGCGCAGCCCCCGCCCCGCGAUACGAUCGGGGCAGCGGAGGCAGCUCCCGCCUCCUCCAGACCGAAAGCCCCGGAGAAGAAGACCGAUACUCACCUGCGGGGCUGCGGGGGGGCCCGCCGGGCCUCACCUGGGGAGGAGCGGCCGCCAGCCCGCUGACCCUGGCCGCCUGGCUGCUCUCCCCUCCUCCACUGGAAUCCUGGAGAAUUUCAUUGAAAUAGAAGGCCCGGGAGAUCGUCAGGCUUUUGACCCCUCCCUCCCCUCCCUUUCUUACUCCCUUUCUCAACCUCUCACCCUUACCCUUACCCUGCCCUCCCCCCAGCUCGGCUAGCAGCAAGGAGUCCUAGUUCACAGCUGGCGAGCAGGAUCUCAUCCCCACCUCAGUCCUGACAGCUACUAAGUAGCCACUGUCCUCUAUAAAUGGCAGAGCUACCUGUUUGACAUUUCAAUGCAUCCCAGGACGGCAGGAGCAAACCCAGGAGAUAGAAAUUGCUGCAACUGAUGGAGAGAGAGCUGAGGCCCAGAGAGGGGAAGGGGCUUACCCAGACUCACAUGGCAAGUGCAUUUUAGAACCUGCAUUCCAACUGUUGGCCUACUCUACAAUCCGCAUGCCUUCCACUGGAAAAUGGGACUAAUGCUAGACACAGCAACAGGGUUAUUGUGUGGUGUGGGGAAGAUGACCCUUGCAGACAUGUCAGCCCAGUACCCGGUACAUUGAAUGUUUUCGAGCACCUACUUUGUUCCAGGCACUGUGCUAGAUGUAGCAUGUAAGGUGUGUCUGUUACCCCCAUGGACCCUACCAUUCACGAGGAAGCCAGGCAUUAAACUAAAACUCGGUAGCAAACUGAGCUGUGAGAAGUCCAGCCUGUCUGCUAGAGAGAGACCAUAUGGAAAGGUCCUGAGACUACCCAGUAAGGGAGGGGCAUCCAGCUGAGCCCAGCCUCUAGCUGUUCCUAGGGUGCCAGUCACUCAAGUGAAGCCAUCUUAGGACCCUCAGACCAGCCUGGCUACUAGCUGAUACCAAUGAGUGACCCCACUCAAAGCCACAUGAAGCUGAAGUAUCUCCCAGCUGCACCCUGCCUGAAUUCAGAAUCCAUAAAUUAUGAGUUCUUGAAGCUGAAAAUCCAGGAUCAAGGUGCCAGCAGAUUCAGUUCCUGGAGUGGGCCUGCUUCCUGGCUUGCAGAUAUGGCCUUUCCUUGUGCAUGGAGGGAGAGGGAGAGAGAGAGAGAGAGCUCUGUUUUCCUCCUUGUAAAGGGCACUAAUCCCAUCAUGAUGAUCCCAUCCUCAUGACUUCAUCUAAACCAGAUUACCUCCCAAAGGCCUGACCUCCAUAGACCACCACAUUGCAGGAUUUGAGUCAAGAAUGAGGAAGAGGAGAAGGCCUGUUUAUGUCACUGCCUGUUUACUUAUUUCCCCCAACAAAAAUCAUCUUGAGAGCAGAACCCCUGUUUUAUUGAGUCAAAUGCUUGGACAGGGCCUUGCUUCUGGUCCAUGUUUGUUAGAUAAAUGGAUUAAUAUCUAGCACCUUGGAUAUACCUGUUUAAAUUCAGGGCUAUGAAGUACUUUACCAGGAAGAAAGCCAUCCGGCUAUUGGCCAAUCAAUAUGGACUUCAGGUGAUAUGAAGAGAAAACUUACACCCCUCUCUGCCAAGUUCCCUUUUUAAGGAUGUGCCCCAGCAAAACUGGGGAGAGAGAAAGACAUAAAAUCCAGGCAAUAGAGGAUUCUAUCCAGAAAAGCAACAAAGAGCAUUCGCCUGAAGGCAGCUAUGCAACAAGCCCAGAGAGCAGUCUAGUCUGGAGCUGGAGGACAGAAGCUUCUGGAAAGAGAUCUCCAACUUGGAACAAAGAAAGGAGGUAAUGAGAUCAAUGGACUACCCAGUAUGAGAAUGUUUGAAAACAGUAAUCAAAGGGUAGGUAGAUGGACGUUCUGAUGAGGAGUUUGGAAAAAAAAAAUUAAAGAACUGUAUUACAUAGUCAUUAUAGUGUAGACUCUGAUUUUUUUAUUUAACUAUGGGACAGGUGGGGCAUGGGAGGCUGGUAUAAGGAAUGCCAGAUGUUUAGAUCAUAAUUGACAAUACAUAAUGUUUAAAUUUGGUAGAAUAGGAGAUAGUAAAAUAAACAUAUUAUUUAGAAAUAUAGAGGUAAGUGUCUGGUGAGACAGCUCCAUGGGACAAAUGAUGUUGCCUUUGGAAUAUGGAACCAAGGUAUGGUGAAGGGCUUGCUGUAUUUCAUUAGAAGCCUACUAAAAAAAAAAAAAAAAAAAAAAAAAAAAAAAAAAACUAUGUGCCUGUAUUAGUUUGAUGAAAUAUUUUAAAAACCAAGUGAACCACUGAUUUACGAGAAGACUUUCAGGUGAAUCAACUUCUCAUCUAGCUACCUGGAAGCAUACUUGUUCAUUUGGAGACCUGGCUUAUCUUGCCGUGUUUAUUUUGGCCCAGGGAAGUCAUUCCUCUGACUCCUUGCUUCUUGUUUAGAAGUGAAGGGAAUGUCAAGUGACCACUUUUGGCUAAUGACAGCAGCCCCUGUGAAUGAGUGUCUGAUUUACUUGUGUCUAAUCUUGACAAUAGCUACCCUUUGCUAUUUUUUCUCAUAUGUCUUGUCUCUCCACAUCAGUUCAGGUUGGUCCAGAUCAUUUCUUUUCACAACCUAUACUAUUCCACAGUAUAGAUAACCUUCAUUCAUUUAAUCUCCCUUUACAUUUCACUCGCCACCAUUUUAUUGUUUUGAUCCUUAUAGCAACCUUUUGGCAGAGAUACUACUAUCCUGGCUUGUAAAGAUGAAGAACACAGGCUUAGGCAGUUAAUUCUUUGGCAUCAGCCACUGACAUGACAAGAGAAGCUUGACAGGAAAUACCACUAUCCAGAAACAAACCCAACUCCAAAAAGUGCCCCUCACUGGGCAUUGCCCUUGGCCACUGGGAGCUGCUUUACUCCUUCCCAGCAGUAGCCAAGGGCCAAUGCCUGGCUGAGGCAGGGGACAAGGGUCCAGUCCUCUUUGCCUCCAUUUGGACAACCCUGAAGAGUUGGCUCGAGUGCAAGCUCACUGUAGUAUCUGCUGAGGGCUCAGAUGUAAUCACCCUCUGGUUCUGCCUCCUCUCUGCCCAAUCCCACUGUCCUCAUUUUCUUACAGUUGUAUUUCCUGAGAGCACCUCCCAAUCAACCUUGUGCAUACAAACUCCUGCACGGAGGGUCUCUCCAGGGCUCUGAGACUAAGACACUACUGUUUUGGGAGUUAGGUGUCUCCUUUAUUUCUUUUUUUUUUUUUCCUCCUUUCUUUAAAUAGUCCUUCCUAUACACUCUCUUUACAUUUGUUCAUAUCAUUUACCAAUAUCUUAUAUAGUAGUCUGUAUUUAUUCAUUAUUUGCUUUGUUCUGUCCCCAGAGCAUAUGCUCCACGCAGG